rnacentral:rRNA from 1 species
GCGGCAGGCUAACACAUGCAAGUCGAGGGGUAACAUUGUAGCUUGCUACAGAUGACGACCGGCGCACGGGUGCGUAACGCGUAUACAAUCUACCUAUUACUAAGAGAUAGCCCAGAGAAAUUUGGAUUAAUAUUUUAUAGUAUUAUCGAUUGGCAUCAAUUGAUAAUUAAAGAUUACGGUAAUAGAUGAGUAUGCGUCCUAUUAGCUUGAUGGUAAGGUAACGGCUUACCAUGGCUACGAUAGGUAGGGGUCCUGAGAGGGAGAUCCCCCACACUGGUACUGAGACACGGACCAGACUCCUACGGGAGGCAGCAGUGAGGAAUAUUGGACAAUGGGAGCAAUCCUGAUCCAGCCAUGCCGCGUGCAGGAAGACUGCCCUAUGGGUUGUAAACUGCUUUUAUACAGGAAGAAAAAGGUUCACGUGUGAACUGUUGACGGUACUGUAGGAAUAAGGAUCGGCUAACUCCGUGCCAGCAGCCGCGGUAAUACGGAGGAUCCAAGCGUUAUCCGGAAUCAUUGGGUUUAAAGGGUCCGUAGGCGGGACAAUCAGUCAGUGGUGAAAGUUUGCGGCUCAACCGUAAAAUUGCCAUUGAUACUGUUGUUCUUGAGUGCUUGUGAAGUGGUUAGAAUGAGUAGUGUAGCGGUGAAAUGCAUAGAUAUUACUCAGAAUACCGAUUGCGAAGGCAGAUCACUACAAUUCACUGACGCUGAUGGACGAAAGCGUAGGUAGCGAACAGGAUUAGAUACCCUGGUAGUCUACGCCGUAAACGAUGGUUACUAGCUGUUCGGACUAAUUGCGGUCUGAGUGGCUAAGCGAAAGUGAUAAGUAACCCACCUGGGGAGUACGUUCGCAAGAAUGAAACUCAAAGGAAUUGACGGGGGCCCGCACAAGCGGUGGAGCAUGUGGUUUAAUUCGAUGAUACGCGAGGAACCUUACCAGGGCUUAAAUGCAGUUUGACAGGGGUGGAAACAUCUUUUUCUUCGGACAAAUUGCAAGGUGCUGCAUGGUUGUCGUCAGCUCGUGCCGUGAGGUGUCAGGUUAAGUCCUAUAACGAGCGCAACCCCUUUGUUUAGUUACCAGCAUGUAAAGAUGGGGACUCUAGACAUACUGCCAGUGUAAACUGUGAGGAAGGUGGGGAUGACGUCAAAUCAUCACGGCCCUUACGUCCUGGGCUACACACGUGCUACAAUGGUAGGGACAGAGAGCAGCCACUGGGUGACCAGGAGCGAAUCUACAAACCCUAUCACAGUUCGGAUCGCAGUCUGCAACUCGACUGCGUGAAGCUGGAAUCGCUAGUAAUCGCAUAUCAGCCAUGAUGCGGUGAAUACGUUCCCGGGCCUUGUACACACCGCCCGUCAAGCCAUGGAAGCUGGGGGUACCUGAAGUCGGUCGCCGCAAGGAGCCGCCUAGGGUAAAACUAGUAACUGGGCUAAGUCGUAA